AUGUGCGUCAUCGACACAUUCAGCAUGGGGCGAAAACCUGACGACACUCUCACAAAAGACUAUCCUAACAAAAGGAAAGGAGAAUAUCCAACACUCCAACAAGGAGACAGAACAGAGCCAAAGUACCGCACCCACGCAAGGGGCAAACAGCAGCACAAAAGAAAACAACCAGCAGAGGCCUACAGGGACACCCAGAGAAUGUUCAGCGCCUUAUCAGUUCCUCGUUCCAUCAUCCUGAGCAGCAGCACAAAUGCGCAUCGGGUUCUUCGCAUUAUCCUUGAGCAUCGUUGCCCUUCAUCGCAUUGCCUCUUGAUCCUCACUCUUCAGCAGACCUGCCAAUAA
rnacentral:rRNA from 1 species